UACGUAGGGUGCGAGCGUUAAUCGGAAUUACUGGGCGUAAAGCGUGCGCAGGCGGUUUUGUAAGUCUGUCGUGAAAUCCCCGGGCUCAACCUGGGAAUUGCGAUGGAGACUGCAAGGCUAGAAUCUGGCAGAGGGGGGUAGAAUUCCACGUGUAGCAGUGAAAUGCGUAGAGAUGUGGAGGAACACCGAUGGCGAAGGCAGCCCCCUGGGCUGAGAUUGACGCUCAGGCACGAAAGCGUGGGGAGCAAACAGGG
rnacentral:rRNA from 1 species